UGGCUGGUAGCUCAGUUGGUUAGAGCAUUGUUCUGAUACAUCAAGGUUGCGGGUUCGAUCUCUGGUCAG
rnacentral:tRNA from 1 species